GCCCGUGUGGCUCAGUGCAUAGAGCGUCAGCCUGCGGACUGAAGGGUCCCGGGUUCAAGUCCGGUCAAGAGCA
rnacentral:tRNA from 1 species